CCUACGGGUGGCAACAGUGAGGAAUAUUGGUCAAUGGACGCAAGUCUGAACCAGCCAUGCCGCGUGCAGGAAGACGGCUCUAUGAGUUGUAAACUGCUUUUGUACGAGGGUAAACUUAGAUACGCGUAUCUUUCUGAACGUAUCGUACGAAUAAGGAUCGGCUAACACCGGGCCAGCAGCCGCGGUAAUACGGGGGAUUCAAGCGUUAUCCGGAUUUAUUGGGUUUAAAGGGUGCGGAGGCAGUCGGUUAAGUUAGAGAGGAAAUCCCGUGGCUCAACUUCGGAAUUGCCUCGGAUACUGUUCGGCUAGAGAGAAGUAGAGGUAAGCGGAAUGUAUGGUGUAGCGGUGAAAUGCUUAGAGAUCAUACAGAACACCGAAUGCGAAGGCAGCUUACCAAGCUACGUCUGACGUUGAGGCACGAAAGCGUGGGGAGCAAACAGGAUUAGAUACCCGAGUAGUC
rnacentral:rRNA from 1 species